GGGCGAGUUUGAUCAUGGCUCAACAGGUCAUUCAACGCGGUGAGACAGGUCGCGAUUGCGCAGCAAUCGCAUCAACACCGAAUGAUUGAAUGGCGUGUUGGGAUACACGAGCGGCGGACGGCUGAGUAACACGUAGGAACGUACCCCAAACUGAGGGAUAAGCACCGGAAACGGUGUCUAAUACCGCAUGUGCUCUUCGGAGUAAAGCUACGGCGGUUUGGGAACGGCCUGCGCAUGAUUAGCUUGUUGGUAAGGUAAUGGCUUACCAAGGCGACGAUCAUUAGCUGGUCUGAGAGGAUGAUCAGCCAGACUGGGACUGAGACACGGCCCAGACUCCUACGGGAGGCAGCAGUAGGGAAUCUUCCACAAUGGGCGAAAGCCUGAUGGAGCAACGCCGCGUGCAGGAUGAAUGCCUUCGGGUUGUAAACCUCUUUCAGCGGGGACGAAGCGCAAGUGACGGUACCCGCAGAAGAAGCACCGGCCAACUACGUGCCAGCAGCCGCGGUAAUAAUCA
rnacentral:rRNA from 1 species